rnacentral:rRNA from 1 species
CCCUUAGAUGUUCUGGGCCGCACGCGCGCUACACUGAUGCAUUCAACGAGUUUCUUCCUGGUCCGAGAGGAAUGGGUAACCUUUUGAAAGUGCAUCGUGAUAGGGAUAGACUAUUGCAAUUAUUGGUCUUCAACGAGGAAUUCCUAGUAGACGUAGUUCAUCAGACUGCAUCGAUUACGUCCCUGCCCUUUGUACACACCGCCCGUCGCUGCUACCGAUUGAGUGGUCCGGUGAAUUAUUCGGACCGGUGGACUGUGGGGAAACCCGCGGCCUGCUGGGAAGUCUUGUGAACCUUAUCACUUAGAGGAAGCAGAAGUCGUAACA